rnacentral:lncRNA from 1 species
UUCAACUAGAAGGAAAGGGGCAUCGAUCUCUGCUCAUUCAAGUUUUAAAUGGUGGUUUCUGACUCGGAAGCCGAUAUAUCUGUUUAUAUUCGAGUUAUAAACGCAAUGUUAUUAUAUAUGAACUCAAGAUCGGUGACCUCCAUACCUACACAUUACUACGUGGGAUAUCUUCUCGUUUGGUGGUUUACAUAGUCAGACCUUCAAGGUACUAGAUCUGUGUGGUGUUGACAAAAUUGAGGACAAAAGUUUUACCGUUCCGAUUUGAGGCUAUUUCGGACGUUGAUAUGUACAAAAUCUUAAUUGUUGAUUUUAUGUUUCAGUGUGGGUGCAUGAAUGGCAGGGUAUUUAUAUUUGGGGUCUUUUAAUAAAGAAAUUUGUUUAAUGAAAAUUAAAUGGACCAAACUACCCCUGCAGAUAAAGACAAAAAAGGAACCUUAAAACACUUAAAAAAGAGAGAUUUUGAGUUUUGAACUAA